rnacentral:rRNA from 1 species
AUGGCGAUCCGGCGACAAUCAUCAGCAGCAGCUUCUCUACUCCUGCCGCCGGUGGCUGCUCUUCUGUUUCUAUGGAUGUUUGGCGGGGGGCAUGUGAUGGCACAUACUGAGAUUCGCAACAUGACGGCUCUCCAGAAACAUGUCUCCUUUUUCGACCGUAACAAGGAUGGCAUCAUCACUCCUUCGGAAACAUUUGAAGGGUCUGUCGCAAUUGGUUUUAAUGCUACAUAUGCCAGAGAAUUUGCCACCUUGGUGCAUGCUGCUAAUGGUCCUAUAACAAGCCCCGCUGAUGCACCAUUGCCUCACUUAUCAAUAUACAUAGAGAAUAUGCACAGAGGAAUGCAUGGGAGUGAUACCGGUGCAUUUGAUGUUAAAGGAAGGUUUGUUCCACAAAAGUUUGAGGAAAUAUUCAUAAAGCAUGCAAAAACUAGACCAGAUGGUUUGACAUAUUUGGAGAUGGAGGAUAUGAUCCUAGCAAAUCGAGAUCCACUGGACCCUGCAUCAUGGGAGGGACCUCAAAUAGAAUGGGGCGGAAUAUACAACGUCGCGAGUGACAAUGAUGGAUUCCUUCAUAAGGACAAUGCGAGAGGUAUAUACGACGGAAGUGUGUUUGUAAAGCUGGAGGAAAAGAGGGCCUUUUCUCAUCAUAGUGCAAUGUAA